AUUGAACGCUGGCGGCAUGCCUUACACAUGCAAGUCGAACGGUAACAGGUCUUCGGAUGCUGACGAGUGGCGAACGGGUGAGUAAUACAUCGGAACGUGCCUAGUAGUGGGGGAUAACUACUCGAAAGAGUGGCUAAUACCGCAUGAGAUCUACGGAUGAAAGCAGGGGAUCGCAAGACCUUGUGCUACUAGAGCGGCCGAUGGCAGAUUAGGUAGUUGGUGGGAUAAAAGCUUACCAAGCCGACGAUCUGUAGCUGGUCUGAGAGGACGAUCAGGCACACUGGGACUGAGACGCGGCCCAGACUCCUACGGGAGGCAGCAGUGGGGAAUUUUGGACAAUGGGCGAAAGCCUGAUCCAGCAAUGCCGCGUGCAGGAUGAAGGCCUUCGGGUUGUAAACUGCUUUUGUACGGAACGAAAAGCCCCGGGUUAAUACCCUGGGGUCAUGACGGUACCGUAAGAAUAAGCACCGGCUAAUUACGUGCCAGCCGCCGCAGUAA
rnacentral:rRNA from 1 species